CAAGGCUUGACAUAUAGAGGAAAAGUGCAGAGAUGCACUCCCCGCAAGGUCUCUAUACAGGUGGUGCAUGGUUGUCGUCAGCUCGUGUCGUGAGAUGUUGGGUUAAGUCCCGCAACGAGCGCAACCCUCGUCCUAUGUUGCCAGCACGUUAAGGUGGGAACUCAUGGGAUACUGCCGGGGUCAACUCGGAGGAAGGUGGGGAUGACGUCAAAUCAUCAUGCCCCUUAUGUCUUGGGCUUCACGCAUGCUACAAUGGCCGGUACAGAGGGCAGCAAUAUCGCAAGGUGGAGCGAAUCCCAGAAAGCCGGUUUCAGUUCGGAUUGAGGUCUGCAACUCGACCUCAUGAAGUCGGAGUCGCUAGUAAUCGCGAAUCAGCAACGUCGCGGUGAAUACGUUCCC
rnacentral:rRNA from 1 species